UUGCCCUAGUAACGGCGAGUGAAGCGGCAACAGCUCAAAUUUGAAAUCUGGCCUCGGCCCGAGUUGUAAUUUGCAGAGGAAGCUUUAGGCGCGGCACCAACUGAGUCCCCUGGAACGGGGCGCCAUAGAGGGUGAGAGCCCCGUAUAGUUGGACGCCUAGCCUGUGUAAAGCUCCUUCGACGAGUCGAGUAGUUUGGGAAUGCUGCUCAAAAUGGGAGGUAAAUUUCUUCUAAAGCUAAAUACCGGCCAGAGACCGAUAGCGCACAAGUAGAGUGAUCGAAAGAUGAAAAGCACUUUGAAAAGAGGGUUAAAUAGCACGUGAAAUUGUUGAAAGGGAAGCGCUUGUGACCAGACUUGCGCCGGGCGGAUCAUCCGGUGUUCUCACCGGUGCACUCCGCCCGGCUCAGGCCAGCAUCGGUUCUCGCGGGGGGAUAAAGGUCCCGGGAACGUAGCUCCUCCGGGAGUGUUAUAGCCCGGGGCGUAAUGCCCUCGCGGGGACCGAGGUUCGCGCAUCUGCAAGGAUG
rnacentral:rRNA from 1 species